CUUAUUCCCUAUAUAGUGCACUACAUUAGACCAGAGCCCUAUGGCACCCUAUCCUCAACCCAUGUUUAGUGGUCUGACCAGGUUAGUGAGAGACCAGGUUCAUCCCAUGUCUAGUGGUCUGACCAGGUUAGUGAGAGACCAGGUUAGUGAGAGACCAGGUUCAUCCCAUGUUUAGUGGUCUGACCAGGUUAGUGAGAGACCAGGUUAGUGAGAGACCAGGUUAGUGAGAGACCAGGUUAGUGAGAGACCAGGUUCAUCCCAUGUUUAGUGGUCUGACCAGGUUAGUGAGAGACCAGGCUCAUCCCAUGUCUAGUGGUCUAACCAGGUUAGUGAGAGACCAGGUUCAUUCCAUGUUUAGUGGUCUAACCAGGUUAGUGAGAGACCAGGUUAGUGAGAGACCAGGUUCAUCCCAUGUUUAG